rnacentral:rRNA from 1 species
CUAACUACGUGCCAGCAGCCGCGGUAAUACGUAGGGUGCGAGCGUUAAUCGGAAUUACUGGGCGUAAAGCGUGCGCAGGCGGUUUUGUAAGCCAGAUGUGAAAUCCCCGAGCUCAACUUGGGAACUGCAUUUGAGACUGCAAGGCUAGAGUACGGGAGAGGGGGGUGGAAUUCCCCGUGU